AUGGACAUGUCAUCUAAAAGUUCUAAGAGUGUCACUUCCAAGCAAGUCAGCAAGACCAAAGGAGCUACUUCUUCAAGAAGGGAUUUCUCCAAGAAAAAUGAUAGAAUCACAUCCUUAGAGGGUGCUAGAUCUUCUGUUGGAUCAACAAUGACAGUAAGAACCUCAGAGUCUAAGAUGAAGAUGCCCAAGAACAAAAAGAAGCAUCCAACUGAAGAGAUUGAAUUUGGCUCAGAUGCUAAUGAAGACAAGGUGUUAUUCCUCUGA